rnacentral:rRNA from 1 species
GUCUCUUUGUAUUUAUUAAAUAAAGAGUUGGGCCUGCUCAGUGAUGUAAUUUUUAACAGCUGCGGUAUUUUAACUGUACUAAGGUAGCAUAAUAAUUUGCCUUAUAAAUUGAGGCUAGAAUGAAUGGUUUGACGAAGGUUUAUCUGUCUCUAUUUUGUUUUUUAGAAGUUAAUUUUUUAGUGAAAAAGCUAAAAUAUUUUAAAGGGACGAGAAGACCCUAUUGAGCUUAAAUUUACUAGUAUUAUAUUUAAUAGUAUUUAAUAAAUUUUAAUUGGGGUGAUUAAGGAAUAAAAUUAUAUAUUAAAUAAUAACUUCCUUAAAUUAUGUAAUACUGUUAGGUUAAGUAACCAAUAAUAUUGCUUAUAAUAAAGUUACCAUAGGGAUAACAGCGUAAUUUAUUUAGAGAGUUCCUAUUAAAAAAUAAGAUUGCGACCUCGAUGUUGGAUUAAAGUAACCUUAAGGUGCAGAAGCUUUAAUAUGGUAAAUCUGUUCGAUUUUUAAAACUUU